rnacentral:rRNA from 1 species
GAUGAACGCUAGCGGCAGGCUUAACACAUGCAAGUCGAGGGGUAUAGUUUUUCGGACCUAGAGACCGGCGCACGGGUGCGUAACGCGUAUGCAAUCUACCUUUCACAGAGGGAUAGCCCAGAGAAAUUUGGAUUAAUACCUCAUAGUAUAGCAGUUUCGCAUGAAACCACUAUUAAAGUUCCAACGGCGAAAGAUGAGCAUGCGUCCCAUUAGCUAGAUGGUAAGGUAACGGCUUACCAUGGCUACGAUGGGUAGGGGUCCUGAGAGGGAGAUCCCCCACACUGGUACUGAGACACGGACCAGACUCCUACGGGAGGCAGCAGUGAGGAAUAUUGGUCAAUGGACGCAAGUCUGAACCAGCCAUGCCGCGUGCAGGAUGACGGUCCUAUGGAUUGUAAACUGCUUUUGUACGAGAAGAAACAUUCCGACGUGUCGGAACUUGACGGUAUCGUAAGUAUAAGGAUCGGCUAACUCCGUGCCAGCCGCCGCAGUAACAC